rnacentral:rRNA from 1 species
GACGAACGCUGGCGGCGUGCUUAACACAUGCAAGUCGAACGGAAAGGCCCUGAUCUUGUGGGGUGCUCGAGUGGCGAACGGGUGAGUAACACGUGAGUAACCUGUCCUUGACUUUGGGAUAAAUUCAGGAAACUGGGGCUCAUAUCGGAUAGGAGCUCCUGCUGCAUGGGGUGGGUUGGAGAGUUUCGGCUGUUGGGGAUGGACUCGCGGCUUCUCAGCUUCGUGGUUGGGUAGUUGCUUACCAAGGCUUUGACGGGUAGCCGGCAUGAGAGGGGUACCGGGCACCUUGGGCCUGAGAUACGGCCCAGACGCGUACGGGAGGCAGUAGUGGGGAAUAUUGCACAAUGGGCGGAAGCCUGAGACAGCAGCGCCGCGUGCGGAAUGACCUGUUUCGGGUUGUAAACAGAUUUCGCCUGUGAUGAAGAGGGAGUGACGGUAAUGGGUAAAGAAGCACCGGCUAACUACGUG